rnacentral:rRNA from 1 species
CUACGGGGGGCAGCAGUGAGGAAUAUUGCACAAUGGGGGGAACCCUGAUGCAGCAACGCCGCGUGGAGGAUGACGCAUUUCGGUGUGUAAACUCCUUUUAUAUGUCAAGAAAAUGACGGUAGCAUAUGAAUAAGCACCGGCUAACUCGUGCCAGCAGCCGCGGUAAUACGGAGGGUGCAAGCGUUACUCGGAAUCACUGGGCGUAAAGGACGCGUAGGCGGGUUGGAAAGUCAGGUGUGAAAUCCUACAGCUUAACUGUAGAACUGCACUUGAAACUUCUAAUCUAGAGUAUGGGAGUGGGAGAUGGAAUUAGUGGUGUAGGGGUAAAAUCCGUAGAUAUCACUAGGAAUACCUAAAGCGAAGGCGAUCUCCUGGAACAUUACUGACGCUAAGGCGUGAAAGCGUGGGGAGCAAACAGGAUUAGAUACCCCUGUAGUC